rnacentral:rRNA from 1 species
GAAGUGAAACACCUUCGGGUUGUGAGGUUAAUGUGACUAAGCGUA